UUUUUGAUUUCUGGCGGGUUAUACUCCACCAAAGAUAAUUUUAGCUAUAUGGAGGUGGCUAAUUAUUCGCCGCAAAAACAAAAACUUUUUUUAGAAACAGACCUGAAAGUAUCGAAAUGGGAUCAAGAUGACAUCAUUACAGUAAACGUAGACCAGAUAAGAGCCUAACUAAAAGGCAGAUCAAAUUACGAAUGGACCAUUUAAAUGUUGAGGAGAAAUUAGCACUAGAAGAACUUCAUCGGGAAUUCCCGAAUAUGUAGAAGGUGAAAAACUAUCUUUUACCAACUCGGUGAAACAUAGAAUAAGAACAUUAGAUAACAUUUCAUUAUACACAAGACCCUUUAGAUACAGUCCGAUUGAAACUAAAGAAAUUCACCAACAGAUCGUGAAACUUCUUGAUCAAAACAUAAUUAAACAUAGCCAUUCUCCAUGGAGUGCACCAUUGUUUCUAGUUUCAAAGAAACUAGAUGCUUCAAAUAAAAAAAAUGGAAAUUGGUAGUGGACUACAGAAAAACUAAAUGAAAAGACCAUUAAGGAUAAAUAUUCAAUGCCAAACACGAAUGACAUUUUAGAUAAGAUAGGCAGAGCAAAAUAUUAUUCAACCCUAGACUUGCCCAGCGGAUACCAUCAAAUCGAAAUGGACCCGAACGAUACGGAAAAAACCACCUUUUCCUACAGUAAUGGACAUUUUGAAUUUAUAAGAAUGCCAUUUGGGUCAACAAAUGCUCCGGCCACAUUUCAGAUGGUAAUGGACAACGUGUUUGCAGAGUUUAAUGAACAUAUCACAGACCUCAGAAGGGUAUUUACUAAACACACAAAGGCAAAGUUAAAAUUACAAUCGCAGAAAUCAGAAUUUUUAAGAAAAUAGAUCGAAUGCUUAUCUUGUUACAGAAGAUGGGAUUAAGCCCAACCCUAACAAACUAAGGGCGAUCAAAUCUUUUCCUAUGCCAAAAACAAAGAAGGAGAUCAAGUCUUUUUUAGGACUAUUGAAAGGCAAGAAAUCCCCAGUAAAUAUCGGCGAAUACUAUAAAAAGGCCUUUGGAAAUAUUAAAACAUUGUUAUGUAACGAUCCAUUGCUACAGUACCCAGACAAUUCAAAAACCUUUAUACUAACCAAUAGCCUUUUCACACUGGG